AGCCUUUUUCUUAAAUGAAGCCAUUUAAUUUGUUUUUUAAAACCAAAAAGAAAAAGAUUAUCCCUUAUUUUCAUUACUGCUUAAAAACAAGGGAUUAUCCCUUUUUAAACUCCCCCCUUUCCUCUUGCUCUUCUUCUACAGGUCAAAGAGAAGUAGUUUGAUCGCCACUUUUGAGCCUUUCAACCACUCUCCGGCGCUACGGUUGGGGGUUCAGGUGCGUGAUCGAGCACGUCUCUGACGUGGCUUGGUGGAGGAGCGUACGACACGGAGGAAACGCGCGACGUGUGGGGGAGGCGCGCUGCUGGCUGCAGCUCAAGGGUGGUCUGCUUAGGGUUUUUUUUUUUUUUUGAAGUUGUUUAAGCUUUAGGCCAAUUCGGCCGCAUUGUAAAUGGGUUUUAGGAUUAGGUUUGUAUUGGGCUUGAUUGAAUUGGGUCCGAGGGUAUUUUGUUUUAAUUUUAGUAUUGGUUUGGGACCGGGGCGAAAUGGGCCAUCUACAUAUUGUAUUUAGCAUAAAAAUAUUAAAUUAUAUAGGGGAAGUGAUAAAGAAUUUGUAAAUAAAUUUUAAUAAACAUGUUCCAAUUCUUGGA